GGAGAUGGUAGCUCAGUGGUGGAGUACAUGCUUUGUAAGUAAAAUGUCCUGGGUUCAAUCCCCAGCAUCUUCC